CCUACGGGUGGCUGCAGUGAGGAAUAUUGGUCAAUGGGCGCGAGCCUGAACCAGCCAAGUCGCGUGAAGGAUGACUGCCUUACGGGUUGUAAACUUCUUUUAUAAAGGACUAAAGUGAGGCACGUGUGCCUUUUUGUAUUUACUUUAUGAAUAAGGAUCGGCUAGUUCCGUGCCGGCAGCCGCGGUAAUACGGAGGAUCCGAGCGUUGUCCGGAUUUAUUGGGUUUAAAGGGAGCGUAGAUGGGUUGUUAAGUCAGUUGUGAAAGUUUGCGGCUCAACCGGAAAAGUGCAAUUGAUACUGGCAGCCUUGAGUACAGUUGAGGUAGGCGGAAUUCGUGGUGUAGCGGUGAAAUGCUUAGAUAUCACGAAGAACACCGAUUGCGAAGGCAGCUUACUAACCUGCCACUGACAUUGAUGCUCGAAAGUGUGGGUAUCAAACAGGAUUAGAUACCCGUGUAGUC
rnacentral:rRNA from 1 species